rnacentral:rRNA from 1 species
AGUGAACGCUGGCGGUAGGCCUAACACAUGCAAGUCGAACGGCAGCACAGUAAGAGCUUGCUCUUACGGGUGGCGAGUGGCGGACGGGUGAGGAAUACAUCGGAAUCUACUUUUUCGUGGGGGAUAACGUAGGGAAACUUACGCUAAUACCGCAUACGACCUACGGGUGAAAGCAGGGGAUCUUCGGACCUUGCGCGAUUGAAUGAGCCGAUGUCGGAUUAGCUAGUUGGCGGGGUAAAGGCCCACCAAGGCGACGAUCCGUAGCUGGUCUGAGAGGAUGAUCCGCCACACUGGAACUGAGACACGGUCCAGACUCCUACGGGAGGCAGCAGUGGGGAAUAUUGGACAAUGGGGGCAAGCCUGAUCCAGCCAUACCGCGUGGGUGAAGAAGGCCUUCGGGUUGUAAAGCCCUUUUGUGGGGAAAGAAAAGCAGCAGGUUAAUACCACGCUGUUCUGACGGUACCCAAAGAAUAAGCACCGGCUAACUUCGUG